AUUGAACGCUGGCGGCAUGCCUUACACAUGCAAGUCGAACGGUAACGCGGGGCAACCUGGCGACGAGCGGCGAACGGGUGAGUAAUGUAUCGGAACGUGCCCAGUUGUGGGGGAUAACUGCUCGAAAGAGCAGCUAAUACCGCAUACGACCUGAGGGUGAAAGCGGGGGAUCGCAAGACCUCGCGCAAUUGGAGCGGCCGAUAUCAGAUUAGGUAGUUGGUGAGGUAAAGGCUCACCAAGCCGACGAUCUGUAGCUGGUCUGAGAGGACGACCAGCCACACUGGGACUGAGACACGGCCCAGACUCCUACGGGAGGCAGCAGUGGGGAAUUUUGGACAAUGGACGCAAGUCUGAUCCAGCCAUGCCGCGUGCGGGAAGAAGGCCUUCGGGUUGUAAGCCGCUUUUGUCAGGGAAGAAACGCUCUGGGUUAAUACCUCGGGGUAAUGACGGUACCUGAAGAAUAAGCACCGGCUAACUACGUGCCAGCCGCCGCCGUAAGAC
rnacentral:rRNA from 1 species